UACGUAGGGGCUAGCGUUAUCCGGAAUUACUGGGCGUAAAGGGUGCGUAGGUGGUUUCUUAAGUCAGAGGUGAAAGGCUGCGGCUCAACCGUAGUAAGCCUUUGAAACUGAGAAACUUGAGUGCAGGAGAGGAGAGUGGAAUUCCUAGUGUAGCGGUGAAAUGCGUAGAUAUUAGGAGGAACACCAGUUGCGAAGGCGGCUCUCUGGACUGUAACUGACACUGAGGCACGAAAGCGUGGGGAGCAAACAGGAUUAGAUACCCCGGUAGUCCCUGA
rnacentral:rRNA from 1 species